UACGGAGGGGGCUAGCGUUGUUCGGAAUUACUGGGCGUAAAGCGCGCGUAGGCGGAUUUGCAAGUCGGGGGUGAAAGCCCGAGGCUCAACCUCGGAACUGCCUUCGAUACUGCAAAUCUCGAGUCCGAGAGAGGUGAGUGGAAUUCCUAGUGUAGAGGUGAAAUUCGUAGAUAUUAGGAAGAACACCAGUGGCGAAGGCGGCUCACUGGCUCGGUACUGACGCUGAGGCGCGAAAGCGUGGGGAGCAAACAGG
rnacentral:rRNA from 1 species